rnacentral:lncRNA from 1 species
ACUUGUUCCUUUUAGGGGGGGAGAUCAAUCACUUGGGCAGCUUUGGCCUUCCAACGGGCCAGGAAAUUGGUCACAAUCAUAAAAGACCUGAACCGGAGGUGCUUGAGGUGCAGUAGAAGGAACUUACUUCUUGAUGGCCCGGUUAAAGCUUUCCUUUUUGGCCAACAGAGCCUUUAGAAUGUCGUGAGUGCUUGGUUCAGGCGGAACCGGGAUUUCGGGUUCAUUUGACAUAGUAGCUACAAUGGGAGAUUCUGAAUUCGGGGUGUAACUUCUUCUACACGAACCUGUCGGCGAGAUGGGCGGACCCCC